rnacentral:lncRNA from 1 species
AUGCCACUAGCUCCAAGCUGUAGACACAUUUUCUUUCAGCCCUUGGGGCUGGUGUUGCCAUUUCUGUGGGGUAGUUCACCUGCGGGCAGGUGGUUCUCAGUUCCCAAAGUCGGGUGGCAAGGGGUGCUCUCCGGAAAUGCUGACGCUUCCCCUGGGAUGUCAGCAGGGUCGAUGGAGACGGACAAAAUGAGGCAGCCCAGGCGAGUGUCUGGGAGGGUGAGCUGUCCGAGUUACUUGGGGCAGGGAGGUCUUCCAAUCCCCCAUUGCGGCCUAGGUCCGACCCCUGCCCCAACCGCCGCCACCGGGCAAGAAAGGCUGGGCCUCCAGGGUGCCCUGGGCACAGGCCUGGGCUCCGGAGGGCGGCGUUGGCCGGGUGCAGCCCGCUGGAACCCAGGCAGGAGGAGAGCCUGGGCGUCACUAGGGGCCGGGGCCGGGGCCGGCGACUGCCGCGGCGCGAGGGUGGGUGGGGACGCGCCUCUGGAUCCAGAGCGCAGGCUGGCGGCUCACCGAGGCCAGCCCCGUCCCGUCCCUUCUGGGGGUUGGAGGCCCCGACCUCGCCGCCCUCACUCCCCAGAGAGGCGCUCUCCGUCACCCUGGCCCGCCCCGCCCCGCUUCGCGCCCCGAGCUGGGACCCCGGGACCCACUCCCUCAGAGAGGUUGCGUAGCCCACCGCUACGGCCCGGCCGGGCAGGGCUCGGGUCCGGGCGGGGGUUCCGGGAGCCGAGAGCUAUUUUUGCAAACGCGUCAGCCACUGGGGAGGAAGAGCCGGCUCCGGGCCCAUUGUGUCUGCGCCGCGCCGCGCGGCGCGGGAGGGGCCGCGGGGUGGCGGCUGGGGCGCAACGAAGCGCGCGAAAACGGCCGGCGGGGCGGGGAGGACCGCGCCUGACCCCCGGCGGCGUGCGGGGCGGGGCCCGGGGCGGGGCGUGGGCGGGUCCUGGGCGGGGCGCGAGGGGGCGGGCCCGGGCGCCCUCCGGCCGCUGCAGGCUGGUGGCUGCUGCGGCGGCGCGGGGACUGCGGGGACUGUGA